rnacentral:rRNA from 1 species
UCGGGAAUUUUGGGCAAUGGGCGCAAGCCUGACCCAGCAACGCCGCGUGAAGGAUGAAGUCCUUCGGGAUGUAAACUUCGGAAGAAUGGGAAGAAUAAAUGACGGUACCAUUUUUAAGCCCCGGCUAACUCCGUGCCAGCAGCCGCGGUAAUACGGAGGGGGCAAGCGUUGUUCGGAUUUACUGGGCGUAAAGCGCGUGUAGGCGGUUUGGUAAGUCACUUGUGAAAUCUUCGAGCUUAACUCGAAGCGGCCAAGUGAUACUGCCGAACUAGAGUGCAGAAGGGGCAAUUGGAAUUCUUGGUGUAGCGGUGAAAUGCGUAGAUAUCAAGAGGAACACCUGAGGCGAAGGCGGAUUGCUGGGCUGACACUGACGCUGAGACGCGAAAGCUAGGGUAGCAAA